AUUAGAGUUUGAUCCUGGCUCAGAUUGAACGCUGGCGGCAGGCCUAACACAUGCAAGUCGAGCGGUAACACAGGGAGCUUGCUCCUGGGUGACGAGCGGCGGACGGGUGAGUAAUGUCUGGGAAACUGCCUGAUGGAGGGGGAUAACUACUGGAAACGGUAGCUAAUACCGCAUAACGUCGCAAGACCAAAGAGGGGGACCUUCGGGCCUCUUGCCAUCAGAUGUGCCCAGAUGGGAUUAGCUAGUAGGUGGGGUAACGGCUCACCUAGGCGACGAUCCCUAGCUGGUCUGCGAGGAUGACCAGCCACACUGGAACUGAGACACGGUCCAGACUCCUACGGGAGGCAGCAAUGGGG
rnacentral:rRNA from 1 species